rnacentral:rRNA from 1 species
UACGUAGGUGGCAAGCGUUGUCCGGAUUUAUUGGGUUUAAAGGGUGCGUAGGCGGUCCUAUAAGUCAGUGCUGAAAUAUCCCGGCUUAACCGGGAGGGUGGCAUUGAUACUGCAGGACUUGAGUAAAGUUGAGGUAGGCGGAAUUGACGGUGUAGCGGUGAAAUGCUUAGAUAUCGUCAGGAACACCGAUAGUGAAGACAGCUUACUAAACUUUAACUGACGCUGAGGCACGAAAGUGUGGGGAUCAAACAGG